rnacentral:rRNA from 1 species
CCUAAUACAUGCAGUCGAGCGGACAGAUGGGAGCUUGCUCCCUGAUGUUAGCGGCGGACGGGUGAGUAACACGUGGGUAACCUGCCUGUAAGACUGGGAUAACUCCGGGAAACCGGGGCUAAUACCGGAUGCUUGAUUGAACCGCAUGGUUCAAUUAUAAAAGGUGGCUUUUAGCUACCACUUACAGAUGGACCCGCGGCGCAUUAGCUAGUUGGUGAGGUAACGGCUCACCAAGGCAACGAUGCGUAGCCGACCUGAGAGGGUGAUCGGCCACACUGGGACUGAGACACGGCCCAGACUCCUACGGGAGGCAGCAGUAGGGAAUCUUCCGCAAUGGACGAAAGUCUGACGGAGCAACGCCGCGUGAGUGAUGAAGGUUUUCGGAUCGUAAAACUCUGUUGUUAGGGAAGAACAAGUACCGUUCGAAUAGGGCGGUACCUUGACGGUACCUAACCAGAAAGCCACGGCUAACUACGUGCCAGCAGCCGCGGUAAUACGUAGGUGGCAAGCGUUGUCCGGAAUUAUUGGGCGUAAAGCGCGCGCAGGCGGUUUCUUAAGUCUGAUGUGAAAGCCCCCGGCUCAACCGGGGAGGGUCAUUGGAAACUGGGGAACUUGAGUGCAGAAGAGGAGAGUGGAAUUCCACGUGUAGCGGUGAAAUGCGUAGAGAUGUGGAGGAACACCAGUGGCGAAGGCGACUCUCUGGUCUGUAACUGACGCUGAGGCGCGAAAGCGUGGGGAGCGAACAGGAUUAGAUACCCUGGUAGUCCACGCCGUAAACGAUGAGUGCUAAGUGUUAGAGGGUUUCCGCCCUUUAGUGCUGCAGCAAACGCAUUAAGCACUCCGCCUGGGGAGUACGGUCGCAAGACUGAAACUCAAAGGAAUUGACGGGGGCCCGCACAAGCGGUGGAGCAUGUGGUUUAAUUCGAAGCAACGCGAAGAACCUUACCAGGGUCUUGACAUCCUCUGACAACCCCUAGAAGAUAGGGCUUCCCCUUUCGGGGGCAGAGUGAACAGGUGGUGCAUGGUUGUCGUCAGCUCGUGUCGUGGAAUGUUGGGUUAAGUCCCGCAACGAGCGCACCCUUGAUCUUAGUUGCCAGCAUUCAGUUGGGCACUCUAAGGUGACUGCCGGUGACAAACCGGAGGAAAGGUGGGG